CAGCUCUCCGAGUAGUGUGGACGUUUAUUGGGCCUAAAGCAUCCGUAGCUUGUUAGAUAAGUCCUCUGUUAAAUCCACCGAUUCAAUCGUUGGAUUGCGGGGGAUACUGUUUGGCUAGGGGACGGGAGAGGUCGACGGUAUUUCCGGGGUAGGGGUGAAAUCCUAUAAUCCCGGGAGGACCACCAGUGGCGAAGGCUGUCGACUAGAACGCGCCCGACGGUGAGGGAUGAAAGCUGGGGGAGCGAACCGGAUUAGAUACCCGUGUAGUCC
rnacentral:rRNA from 1 species